AAAAAAAAAAAAGAAGAAGAAGAAGAAAAAAGAUCUAAAGUUUGCCAACAUGAAACUAGAAUUUGGUCCUCUCUGUUAAUACGACAAGAUUUUCUUGUAAUAUUGAUCUACCCCUGAUUAAAAAAUAAUCAGGGUGUUCCUUGCCUUUUUGGUAACUGUUGCAGGUGAGUGGUGACCCUCUGGGGCUGGUGGUGUGGUGAGAAGAAGAAUUUACCAAGACAGUUGCAGAUAAAGAAAAGCAGAUUUAUUAAAGAAAGUAUGAAAAUACAUUGUGAGAGUGCAAUGGGCAAGUUAGCAGAGAGGAGCUGACUGCAAGGAGGCACAGGCUUGGUGGGGGUUUUAUAAGACAGUCUUUGUGCUGUGAGCUGAAGAGGCUUUGACAGUGCUGAGAACGCCAAGGCUGCCGUGAGCUAACUUGUAAUUUUUCUAUCAGUCAAGGGUCUGGUGAUAGCUGGAAGACUGAGUUAUUUGUGCAGGAGGGUUAUGUGUUCUGGACCAUGAGAAAGGCAGACUUAAGGCUUAUGUGCCUUCUCUUUUUGCUUCCUUCAGUCCCGCCAGCCCCACUCCCCCUCCGUAAUGAGGCCUCCACUGUAACUGGCCUAGAAAAAUUUAUCAAGAUAAUGUUGUGUACUUUGCGCUGUCUUUAUUAGGUUUUUGAUUGCUUGGAAAAAUUCUUCCUUUAAAGAGUUAGGGUUUUUUUUUUUUUUGUCUGUGUAACUUUAUUUGCUUUUAAAGUAUUUUAAUUAUCACUAUAGUUAAAUGGAUGACUAUUAUUUCACAGUGACCUAUUAUCCUGUUUUAAUUAAGUGUUUUAAACCUUUGACAUUUUUGACAAGCUUUCCCAAGAUCAAAUUCUAAAUUAAAUCUUUUUAUUCUUACCUUGUAAAAGAGAUAUAUUAAUUAAGUUUAUUUGACAUGCUAAAUUAUUAAAUAUGUGGGAAGCAUUGUAAACAAGAAAUGAUGUUUAACCUUUUUUUUUUUUUUUUUUUCUGAGACGGAGUCUGGCUCUGUCACCCAGGCUGGAGUGCAGUGGCGCGAUCUUGGCUCAGGGCAAGCUCCACCUCCUGGGUUCACGCCAUUCUCCUGCCUCAGCCUCUCAAGUAGCUGGGACUACAGGCGCCCACCACCACACCCAGCUAAUUUUUUUGUAUUUUUAGUAGAGACGGGGUUUCACCUUGUUAGCCAGGAUGGUCUCGAUCUCCUGACCUCGUGAUCGGCUUGCCUCGGCCUCCCAAAGUGCUGGGAUUACAGGAGUGAGCCACCGCGCCCGGCCUUAACCUUUCUUUAAGUUAUAUUUGUAUGGAUACAGUAUUAGUGUAUUCCAAAAGUUAUAUAAAAUUCUUAAAUAUCUGAUAUAUCUUGGUAUAAUGUUAUCAGUGGUAGUUCUAAUUAUUGUGUUAAAAUGUUCUAUGCUAUGGAAAUAACCAAAGUUCCUUGUCAAUUUCUCAUUAUAAUGAACUCUCAUCAGACUUUUAACCAUGACCCGUCUAUGUUUUUGUCAUCCAUGUAAAGAUUCAAAUCCAAAUUAUUGUUUUGAUGUUUCUCUAAAAGCUUUUGCAAUCAACUACAGUCCAAAUUGCUUCUAAUGAAAUGACUUUGGCAGUCCUCUUGAACUCUGAUUGCUGAUACCUUUAAGAUCAUACCGUUGGACAGAGUCGAUAUUUUUGGGACUCUGUUGAAGAAACUGAUGGGUUCAUAAAUCUGCUAACCUAGAUCAAGCAGAAUGAGAAUUAAUUACAUGGGACUGAAUGAAUUGACGAAAAGGAAUUAUGGGUUUUUACAGUUUUAAUUUAAAAUAUUUUUGGUUCUCUAUUUUAAUGUUUUGUUUUCCAGGUUUAAGGAAAAUAGUUUUCUUAAGCUAUCUAUAAUUUACACCAAUUUGGUAAAGUAUAACUUUGUGAACAAAAAUUGAAACAUAGGCUUCUUUCCCUACCUUAUCUCUCCAAAAUUUGUGAACUAUUUGUGAGUAUGAUUAUGUUUUUGGCAAUACAGUCAUUUGUGUAAGUUCAAUAAGAGCCCGUUCUCUUCACAGCAGCAUACAAUGGAAAAUAUUGGUUAUAUUACCAGGUUUUGACUGGAAUGCCAGGCUUAACGUUGCUCAGAAGUUGCUUCUAUGAGGACGUCUCCCAGCAGCUGUCAGUGUUUCCAAUGAGUCAUCGCCGGCCCCUGCAAUGAGCCUCUCAGGCUGGGGUUACUUAUUCUGGAUGUCAGCACUUGGAUCAAUAUUUGAGAAUAUUUUUUGCGGCCGCUCCUCUCAAGGCGCUGAGCCGCCUCUAAUCACAGCGCCACACUGGCCGCAGGUCGCUGGGUAUAGGAUGAACCCAGCUGUGAAGAGGCUGCAUUUCCUGGGAGGUUUCUGUGAAGUUACUGAACUGCCAAAAGGUAAGCAGUUUUAAUUGAUUUGUGAGUCUUCAAUUAAGCACAGCAGAAUGCUAAUUAAAUAUUCUCUGUUCUUUAAAUAGAGAAUGCUUUAAAUACUUCAGCACAAUCUUUGCAUAAAUCACACCUUUCAGCUGAGGUGCCUGUCAGCAGCCAAGUGAUUGAGAGCACAAACUGUCCCAAAGACACAGCCCCCUUCCCUCUGGGGACGCGCACAGCCUGCAGAAGAAAUGUCACCUGAUGCAGUGUUGUGGUUUAAAAACUCAUUAUGGGAAGCAUGAGGCUGGACCCAGGGGACCCUGGAGGCGAUGCAGGGGCUUUGGCAGCCUGGAAGCUGUUGGAGGAGGGGCCCUUGGUGGAAGUGGGGCCAGUUUGAGCCUCCGGCCUCCAAUUCCCUCCCGCUGGCUUCUGGGCCGCACCUCCAGGAAUCCAGCUAGACCCGCAGGGCUCUGACUCCAGACUUUAUUAAAUGUUUCCUCUAACGGUUCUGGCCAUUCUGCUGGGCCAUUAAAGGCUACCCCAGGGCCUCAGAUAUGAGCGUGGUGUCUGUAUGUGGUCCUUUCAUGGAGGGCAGGAAGCAUCAUAAUUACUUUUUUUUUAACGGUUUUCAAUUUGUGUUGACAAAGAGCCUUAGUGAAUCUGUUGGAAGAAGAGUGACUUGAAAAUGAACCUGACUCCCUGUAUCUUAGGAGUCCAUAUUCUCUGAUACAGUUAACGUUUUCCUUCCAACCUCUUCACUGUUCAAGCAAAGUGGUAUUUUAGCUAUUCACUGUUUGACACUUUAAUAGGAGUUUUGAUGAGCAAUUUCAGGAUGUGGAAUUGCUACACUGCACCAGGUUCCUGCAGGAGCAGCAGCCUCAGCCUGUGGAUGGGACGUGAGAUCUUGGUGUUUCUCCUGGAGGAAACGCUGUGCUGCUGUGUUGAUGACGGGGCGUGUGUGGGGUUGAUGAUGGGUGAUGGAGUGUGGGGUUGACGACGGGUGAUGGAGUGUGGGGAUGAUGAUGGGUGAUGGAGCGUGGGGAUGAUGAUGGAGUAUGGGGUUGAUGACAGGGUGUGGAGUUGAUGAUGGGGUGUGGGGUUGAUGACGGGGC